CCUACGGGAGGCAGCAGUGAGGAAUAUUGGUCAAUGGGCGCGAGCCUGAACCAGCCAAGUAGCGUGAAGGAUGACUGCCCUACGGGUUGUAAACUUCUUUUAUAAAGGAAUAAAGUGAGGCACGUGUGCCUUUUUGUAUGUACUUUAUGAAUAAGGAUCGGCUAACUCCGUGCCAGCAGCCGCGGUAAUACGGAGGAUCCGAGCGUUAUCCGGAUUUAUUGGGUUUAAAGGGUGCGUAGACGGGUUGUUAAGUCAGUUGUGAAAUGUUGCGGCUCAACCGUAAAAUUGCAAUUGAUACUGGCAGUCUAGAGAACAGUUGAGGUAGGCGGAAGGCGUGGUGUAGCGGUGAAAUGCUUAGAUAUCACGAAGAACUCCGAUUGCGAAGGCAGCUUACUAAACUGCCACUGACGUUGAUGCUCGAAAGUGUGGGUAUCAAACAGGAUUAGAUACCCUUGUAGUC
rnacentral:rRNA from 1 species